UACGGGGGGGGCAAGCGUUGUUCGGAAUUACUGGGCGUAAAGGGCUCGUAGGCGGCCAACUAAGUCCGACGUGAAAUCCCAAGGCUUAACCUUGGAACUGCGUCGGAUACUGGAUGGCUUGAAUUCGGGAGAGGGAUGCAGAAUUCCGGGUGUAGCGGUGAAAUGCGUAGAUAUCUGGAGGAAUACCGGUGGCGAAGGCGGCAUCCUGGACCGACAUUGACGCUGAUGAGCGAAAGCUAGGGGAGCAAACGGG
rnacentral:rRNA from 1 species